rnacentral:rRNA from 1 species
UACGGGAGGCAGCAGUGAGGAAUAUUGGUCAAUGGGCGAGAGCCUGAACCAGCCAAGUCGCGUGAAGGAAGAAGGAUCUAUGGUUCGUAAACUUCUUUUGCAGGGGAAUAAAGUGCAGGACGUGUCCUGUUUUGUAUGUACCCUAAGAAUAAGGAUCGGCUAACUCCGUGCCAGCAGCCGCGGUAAUACGGAGGAUCCGAGCGUUAUCCGGAUUUAUUGGGUUUAAAGGGUGCGUAGGUGGUUUAAUAAGUCAGCGGUGAAAGAUUGCAGCUUAACUGUAAAAAUGCCGUUGAAACUGUUGAACUUGAGUGUAAAUGAGGUAGGCGGAAUGCGUGGUGUAGCGGUGAAAUGCUUAGAUAUCACGCAGAACACCGAUUGCGAAGGCAGCUUACCAGGCUACAACUGACACUGAAGCACGAAAGCGUGGGGAUCAAACAGGAUUAGAUACCCUGGUAGUCCACGCCGUAAACGAUGAUUACUAGCUGUUUGCGAUACACAGUAAGCGGCACAGCGAAAGCGUUAAGUAAUCCACCUGGGGAGUACGCCGGCAACGGUGAAACUCAAAGGAAUUGACGG